GUAAGAUUCAGAGACCAUGUGUGCUUGUAGACGUAACAAGUUCUAUCCUAAGUUUUGAUAUGAAAAGUUGUUGUCGCUGAUAAUUCAAGUAUGAAUUAAGGGUCGGAGGAUCCGAAUAGCAAGAAGAUCCGGUAGCCUUACUAUAAUCAAGUCUAGAGAGACUUGGCCUCAUCAAGAACAUGACAAGUUCAUUGAAGCUCUCCACUUAUUCGAUCGCGAUUGGAUGAAGAUAAGAGCUUUUGUUGGAUCAAAGACAGUUAUCCAGGUAAAUGCUGUUUUUUACCGGUUAGAUUCAUUGAUCAUCUGGCUCGAGUAGUAAACUAGGUCUUUAUUAAGCAUAUGAUUUUCAAUAUGCUAAACAUGAACUUAAUCAAACACGUAGUAUAAUGUUUAGAUUUGAAACAGAGAUACUCUAUUUGCUGCAGGCUGAGUGACAUGAUACAGUUGUUGCUACACGCACUUCAAGAACUGAUAACAAAAUUCAUAUUAAUGGUUAGUUGACAGUUGACAUAGCAACUACAAUUCCUCUAUCUCAAUUACGUUUCAUAUUCUUUCCAGAACUAGCUACAAGAUGCCCAUCAGAACUCUUCGCGGCUGCAUAUCGGGUCUUUUCAGACUAAAUCUUGUCUAGUGUUUUGAUUGAUGUGUUAAUUUUUGCUUAUACAAAUCUUUUAUAAUGAUUAUUAUGUAAAAUGUAAUUUAUUAUAAUAGGAAAAUCCUUUAACCAUGUAUAAAGCUAUUCUUUCCGGUGUUUAGUGGAUUUUUAAAUUAGUCAUACACAAUAUCGAACAUCUAGUAUUAUCUCAACCAAAAACCCAAUAUUCGAUAAAACUGGACUGUGUUUGGCCAUUAUGAAGUUUUCUGUAUUCAAAUGUAGUUGUAGUCUAAUUUUCAUAUCUUCUAGAGCUUCUUGAAUUCUACAAUGUUCUCAUCUUUUUAUUUCCAUAUCAUAUUUAGGUACAAGCUCACAUAUUAAUCACAAACAUGAUAUCUAGGUUGCUGUUAUCAGUUAAUUUUGGCUACUAAUUGCUAUUAUUUGCUGUAUUUUCUUGUGAGGGAAAGGUUUUUUAUUUGCAAGGUUCAGCACAGGGCUGUUUUUUGCAUGUUGAUUUGUUGCUGCAAUUGCUUUAAUUUUGUUCAAGAUAUGCUUAAUCGGAAGAUAAGUUCCAGCAGUUGUUUAUGCUGAAAUAUAUGUAUCUUUAUUUUUUUUCCUGCAUGAUUUCAGUAAAGGGAGGAAAUGUUUGUUCUUGGUGGGGCUGUCUGCAGGUGGUGAUUUAUGCAGGGGAAUCAACUGGAGUAAGAGGCCUAAUUGGUGGGUCUGUUUUCACAGAUUUGUGUGUCCGAUGCACCUGUUGGUUUUAAUUUGCACUGCAAUUGGGAGAGAUCAUGUUUUUUAGUAUUCUGCAUAUAUGCUAUAUAGGCUGCUGGGCAAUUUGAAUUCUAGACUAGUUUUAUGAUUCUCGGCGGUGUUUGAGAAAAGGGAGUAGAAUGUGGUUUGUGUAGUGCUUUUAUUUGGAAACAUUAGGAUUACUAUUCUUAAAUUAAUAUAUAUUCAUGAUAUAUUCAUAUUCAUAUAAUUACGAUUUU